ACCCGUGAACUGUGGUUGGAUCC
rnacentral:siRNA from 1 species